CAAGCAAUCCAGUUCCAAAUCCCAGUCCCCCAUUACUCUUCUUCUGUGGCUUCACAGGCGGGUACCCGUAUCCCUAUUGUGGCGGUGGAGGCGAGUACCCGUAUCCCUGUUGUGGUGCAGGCGGGUACCCGUAUCCCUGUUGUGGCGGUGGAGGCAGGUACCUGUAUCCCGGUUGUUGUGGUGGGUAUGCACCAUUCGGCGCCGCUCCUUGAGGGGGUUGUGGUGGGUAACCGUUCCUUGCCUGAGGCAGCGAGGGGUAAGCGUGAGCCAUCGGCGCCGGAUAAGCAGUCACGGGCUCGCCGGCCUUGGCGUGCUUUUUCCCAACGGUGGGUUCAUUGAACUUGUACGAGAAGUGUAACUCGCCCUUGGGUUUUUC
rnacentral:lncRNA from 1 species